AGAGUUUGAUCCUGGCUUAGGAUGAACGCUAGCUACAGGCUUAACACAUGCAAGUCGAGGGGCAGCAUUGGAGUAGCAAUACUCAGAUGGCGACCGGCGCACGGGUGAGUAACACGUAUCCAACCUGCCGCUUACUCGGGGACAGCCUUUCGAAAGAAAGAUUAAUACCCGAUGGUAUAAAGAGUUCGCAUGUUCUCUUUAUUAAAGAAUUUCGGUAAGCGAUGGGGAUGCGUUCCAUUAGAUAGUUGGCGGGGUAACGGCCCACCAAGUCUACGAUGGAUAGGGGUUCUGAGAGGAAGGUCCCCCACAUUGGAACUGAGACACGGUCCAAACUCCUACGGGAGGCAGCAGUGAGGAAUAUUGGUCAAUGGACGAGAGUCUGAACCAGCCAAGUAGCGUGAAGGAUGACUGCCCUAUGGGUUGUAAACUUCUUUUAUAAGGGAAUAAAGUGAGGGACGUGUCCCUUUUUGUAUGUACCUUAUGAAUAAGGAUCGGCUAACUCCGUGCCAGCAGCUGC
rnacentral:rRNA from 1 species